rnacentral:rRNA from 1 species
UGGGGAAUAUUGCACAAUGGGCGCAAGCCUGAUGCAGCCAUGCCGCGUGUGUGAAGAAGGCCUUCGGGUUGUAAAGCACUUUCAGCGAGGAGGAAGGUGGUGAACUUAAUACGUUCAUCAAUUGACGUUACUCGCAGAAGAAGCACCGGCUAACUCCGUGCCAGCAGCCGCGGUAAUACGGAGGGUGCAAGCGUUAAUCGGAAUUACUGGGCGUAAAGCGCACGCAGGCGGUUUGUUAAGUCAGAUGUGAAAUCCCCGGGCUCAACCUGGGAACUGCAUUUGAAACUGGCAAGCUAGAGUCUCGUAGAGGGGGGUAGAAUUCCAGGUGUAGCGGUGAAAUGCGUAGAGAUCUGGAGGAAUACCGGUGGCGAAGGCGGCCCCCCUGGACGAAGACUGACGCUCAGGUGCGAAAAGCGUGGGGGAGCAAAACAGGAUUAGAUACCCUGGUAGUCCACGCUGUAAAACGAUGUCGAUUUGGAGGUUGUGCCCUUGAGGCGUGGCUUCCGGAGCUAACGCGUUAAAAUCGACCGCCUGGGGAGUACGG